rnacentral:rRNA from 1 species
AUUGAACGCUGGCGGCAGGCCUAACACAUGCAAGUCGAAUGGUAACAGGAAACAGCUUGCGGUUUCGCUGACGGGGGGCGGACGGGUGAGUAAUGUCUGGGAAACUGCCUGAUGGAGGGGGAUAACUACUGGAAACGGUAGCUACUGCCGCAUAACGUCGCAAGACCAAAGAGGGUGGGCUUCGUGCCUCGUGCCAUCAGAUGUGCCCGGGUGGGAUUGGCUAGUAGGUGGGGUAAGGUCUCACCUAGGCGACGAGCGCUAGCUGGUGUGAGAGGAUGAGGGGCGGCACUAGAACUGAGCCGCGGUCCAGGCGCCUACGGGAGGGAGCAGAGGGGAACGUUGGGCAGCAGGCGCGAGCCUGAUGCAGCCAUGCGGCGUGUAUGACGAAGGCCUUCGGGUUGUGAAGUACUUUCAGCGGGGGGGAAGGGAGUACAGUUGAUACCUUGGCUCAGUGACGUUAACCGCAGAAGAAGCACCGGCUAACUACGUG